GAUGAACGCUAGCGGUAGGCUUAACACAUGCAAGUCGAGGGGCAGCACAGGUAGCAAUACUAGGUGGCGACCGGCGCACGGGUGAGUAACGCGUAUGCAACCUACCUAUAACUGGAGAAUAGCCCCCGGAAACGGGGAUUAAUGUUCCAUAAUGUUCAGAGACUGCAUAGUUUUUGGACUAAAUCUCCGGCGGUUAUAGAUGGGCAUGCGUGCCAUUAGCUUGUUGGUGCGGUAACGGCUCACCAAGGGUACGAUGGCUAGGGGGUCUUAAAGGAUGAUCCCCCACACUGGUACUGAGACACGGACCAGACUCCUACGGGAGGCAGCAGUGAGGAAUAUUGGUCAAUGGGCGCAAGCCUGAACCAGCCAAGCCGCGUGAAGGAUGACGGCCCUAUGGGUUGUAAACUUCUUUUGUAUGGGAAGAACCCCCCGACGUGUCGGGGUUUGACUGUACUGUACGAAUAAGCAUCGGCUAACUCCGUGCCAGCCGCCGCCGUAAAAC
rnacentral:rRNA from 1 species